UUGGAGGGCAAGUCUGGUGCCAGCAGCCGCGGUAAUUCCAGCUCCAAUAGCGUAUAUUAAAGUUGUUGCAGUUAAAAAGCUCGUAGUUGAAUUUCGGGAUCAAUUUAUUGGUCGUGCUAUUGUACGUACUGGUAUUAUUGAUUCCUACCUUCUGACGAACCAUGAUGUCAUUAAUUUGGUGUCUUGGGGAAUCAGGACUGUUACUUUGAAAAAAUCAGAGUGUUUAAAGCAGGCUCACGCUUGAAUACAUCAGCAUGGAAUAACGGAAUAGGACGUUUGAUUCUAUUUUGUUGGUUUCUAGGAUCGACGUAAUGAUUAAUAGGGAUAGUUGGGGGCAUUAGUAUUCAAUUGUCAGAGGUGAAAUUCUUGGAUUUAUUGAAGACUAACUACUGCGAAAGCAUUUGCCAAGGAUGUUUUCGUUAAUCAAGAACGAAAGUUAGGGGAUCGAAGACGAUCAGAUACCGUCGUAGUCUUAACCAUAAACUAUGCCGACUAGGGAUCGGAUGAUGUUAAUUUUUUAAUGACUCAUUCGGCGCCUUACGGGAAAC
rnacentral:rRNA from 1 species